UACAGAGGUCCCAAGCGUUGUUCGGAUUCACUGGGCGUAAAGGGUGCGUAGGCGGUCGGGUAAGUCUGAUGUGAAAUCUCACAGCUUAACUGUGAAACUGCAUUGGAUACUAUCCGGCUCGAGGAAUGGAGGGGAGACUGGAAUACUUGGUGUAGCGGUGAAAUGCGUAGAGAUCGGGAGGAACACCAGAGGCGAAGGCGGCUAGCUGGACAGUCACUGACACUCAACUACGAAAGCGUGGGGAGCAAACAGG
rnacentral:rRNA from 1 species